rnacentral:piRNA from 1 species
GUGGAAAGAGUAGAGUCAGCUUUAGCC